CAGUAGCCGCGGUAAUACGGAGGGGGCUAGCGUUGUUCGGAAUUACUGGGCGUAAAGCGCACGUAGGCGGAUAUUUAAGUCAGGGGUGAAAUCCCGCAGCUCAACUGCGGAACUGCCUUUGAUACUGGGUAUCUUGAGUAUGGAAGAGGUUAGUGGAAUUGCGAGUGUAGAGGUGAAAUUCGUAGAUAUUCGCAGGAACACCAGUGGCGAAGGCAGCCAUCUGGCCUAAUACUGACGCUGAGGUACGAAAGCAUGGGGAGCAAACAGGAUUAGAUACCCCCGUAGUCCCUGUCUCUUAUAC
rnacentral:rRNA from 1 species